CACACGUGACAACAAAUGCACGCACGUAGCCUAACAAUCAUGCACAUCGGAUACCCGUGAAAGUGCAAGUUACAAACUCAAAAGAAGAACGAAGAAAGUGGAACAGGGGCUCGAACGAAGAAGAAAAGAUCCAUCGAGCCAUGUGGCAGGCGCAAACGCUCCCACACCGGAGGCAGUAACGAGCCAUCAAGUCUGCCGGUAAUCGAAUGCCAACUGCGGUCUUGUGUUUG
rnacentral:misc_RNA from 1 species